UACGUAGGGUGCAAGCGUUGUCCGGAAUUAUUGGGCGUAAAGAGCUCGUAGGCGGUCUGUCGCGUCGGCUGUGAAAACUCGGGGCUCAACCCCGAGCCUGCAGUCGAUACGGGCAGACUAGAGUGCUGUAGGGGAGGCUGGAAUUCCUGGUGUAGCGGUGAAAUGCGUAGAUAUCAAGAGGAACACCUGAGGUGAAGACGGGUUGCUGGGCUGACACUGACGCUGAGGCGCGAAAGCCAGGGGAGCAAACGGG
rnacentral:rRNA from 1 species